GACAACUGGAUCUGAAGCGUAAUGAUGGUCUUCAGAAGGCCUCUCAUGGUGGUCUUGAUUCAGAGGUUUGAGAAGACUACCAAGCACCAGAGCCAGCUAACAGGUGGACCAAACAUCAAGCCAGAAUUCUGCAUGAGUCAGAAUUUAUGUCUUUUGAUAUUAUUGCCUAAUGCAACAAAUGGAAAAAAGCAUACUUUAUGACAACCUUAGCAGCAGAACACCAUGACUUUCUCCUGGGUAGACGAGAAAAAAAGUUUGGUAUCAACACCCAUCUAACAAUUAAGAAAGUUAUCUACAGCCACACAUCCACUGUAUACCAAGUUAUGAUGAUCAAUUAUGAGAAUGCAAAAUGAUUUAUAGAUCAGUAAACAAUCAACAAAAAGGUAAUGUCUUAAUUAAUAUAUUUCUGCUUUUGUUACUUAUUCAUGUAUUUGAAUUACAUCAUUCAAAAUCAAAUGUUAAUAAUUAUAGGGUUUCAACUUGUUGCAGCUUUACAAAAAAUGUAGAAUUUGUAGGAGCAUGGACAACUGAGUAACAAAGUCAUAUUAUGCAGAUGGGUGCUCAUGGUG